rnacentral:rRNA from 1 species
UACGGAGGGUGCGAGCGUUGUCCGGAAUUAUUGGGCGUAAAGAGCUCGUAGGCGGUUUGUUGCGUCGGCUGUGAAAUCCCGAGGCUCAACCUCGGGUCUGCAGUCGAUACGAGCAAACUAGAGUGUUGCAGGGGAGACUGGAAUUCCUGGUGUAGCGGUGAAAUGCGCAGAUAUCAGGAGGAACACCGGUGGCGAAGGCGGGUCUCUGGGCAACAACUGACGCUGAGGAGCGAAAGCGUGGGGAGCGAACAGG